UGUUGGGUAACUUUUCUUUUGUCUUUUUUGUUGGGCAAGCAAGAUAAAGACCGAGCCAUUACCGUGAAUAUCCUCAUUAAUUAUUUCGAAAACUUUAUUUUCCUUCACAAUUUCGAUAAUUGAGUGUCAAAUGUUCGGUAUUUUAGUCGGCAUUAAAGUAAACUGGGUAUUAAAACGGCGCGCAUUAGGCUUCCUUCGUCUAGGUUUCUUCAUAUAUCCUCUGUACUCUUGCUCGGAUCUGCUACGUCGUCCCCGAACAACCACCUCUACAAUGCGGGAGAUACUGUACCCUUAUUUACCAAUAAAGUAGUGCCCUUCCACAAUCCCAGCGAGACCUAAAAAUUCUAUGACUUCCCAUUCUGCAGUCCAGCAUGUUAGCCUUUGAGGUUUAUUACCACCUUUUUGACGGCAGGAAGAAAAUUAAUUGAGAUUUUGUUGGGAAGGAUGGUAAUUAUUUGUUGUUUGCUAGCUGUCCAUUGAGUAAACAAUGUUGGGAGUUGGAAAGCUUCUAGUUUCGAAGUUUAAAACUCUGCUGAACUUAGGACAAUGCUUUCUAGACUCUAGAGACAACGUCCAGUAUUGAAUCCUUAUCCUGUAAUCCAGAAGAAAGAAUCACUGGGGGAAGUCCUGAAUGGAGAUUGUUUGGCCAAUGCUUUAUAUGAGUUACAGUUUUGGAAGGACAAAACCGAUGAAACCCUCUGCGAGAAGAAACUUCAGGGGCAUGAAGUUGCAAA